CCACACAACUGAAAAAACGUGUAUUUGAAUGAAGAGUUCGACGUAGUUUUUAUCACAACCGUCUUGGAAUACCAUGUGCCAACUAAUUUAAUACGCUUUUUAACUAGCACCGUCGUUAAGUGAAAACAUAAGUUUUUGACUCAUGCCCUUCGGCCCUAGCUAUCCUUUUUGUGCCCCUGCCUUUCAACCCUAUCUCUCGCCACCCUCAUCUCCUUCCUCUCCAAGCACCACGCGCUCCAUCUCUUCCUCCGCAUGACCACUGGCUCCCACCUCCCCCCCCCCCAACGAGUACACAUACACCUACUCUUCACUCCUCCACCACUUCCAUUUUGGCCUCCAAGUUCACGCCGCCGUACUCAAAAUGGUGCACUUCGACUCCCCCUUCGUUGCCAAUGCCCUCGUCUCUCUCUAUGCCAAGUAUGCCUCUUUCAACCAAAUACCACACAGGGACAUUGCUUUGAGGAACACCUAUAUCUCUACUGCGCUUCAGGACUCCUUAUACGACACCGCGUUUCACUUGUUUCGUAACAUGCAGGCCACAGACGCGUUUAGAGUCAAUGACUUCACUUUAUCCAUACUUCCCAUCGCGUCUACGUUGUUGAUGGAAGGUCAACUGGUUCACGCACACGCUAUUAAGUUAGGGUUGGAAAUGUUGAUGAUGUGGAGUGGUUGCUUGAGGGGAUGAAAGUCAAGGAUGUUAUAACUUGGACUGAGAUGGUCAUGGCGUAUAUGGAGUUUGGGUUGGUCAAUUUGGCCUUGAAGGUGUUCGAUGAAAUGCCAGAGAAGAAUUUUGUGUCUUAUAACACGAUUCUGGCUGGGUUAUGUCAAAACGAGCAAGGUUUUGAGGCGAUGAUGUUGUUUGUAAGAAUGGUGGAGGAGUGUUUGGAGUUGAUGGAUCAAAUACUACAUUGGUUUCUAAUUCCUUUUCAGUGUAUCCAAAUGCUUUUGUUCAUUUUUGCUUUAGCUUGUACUAAAUUCUAAUUGCAUUUGACUGUUAUGGUAUUUCUAAAGGGAGCAAAAUUCAAAGAUCCAAAGGCACUAAGUAUGCAUAUGUUACUAUACUUUAUUGUAAUUUUGUAUUGUUCUGUAUGGCGUUAUAGGUUUGGAAGUUCUUCAAGUCCAAGUUUCAUAUGUGUGUGUGUGUGUGUGUGUGUGUGUGUACACACACACACACUGAGACAAAGACAUCAGAUUUUGAUUUGUACAGUCUAAGUAGUAUAGUGUGUAUGUGUGAUUUAUGACUAAGCGAGAAUAUUAUAUGCAGAGAGAUCAAGCUAAUAUUUAUAUGGGAAAGUUAUACAUGCUUAAAUUUUGAGAAACUUGCGGGAUCAAUGCAAUGCAAAUGCAGAAAUACACUUUCUUCGUUCUUAAUUAAAUUCAUAUUGUGUGAAUGAUGAUGCAUAAGAUUGAAUCUAGCCACUCGUCAAGCAUAUUUGUCAAUGUUAUGCAAAAAAGAUUGAAAUGCUCAUAGGGGCGAUUAAACACAUUUUUUAAUCUUUUUUGUUUUAUAUAUUAGUUUUGUUCCCAUUUAAAUUUAAUUAAGACAUAAGUUCUUAUUCUCUUCUUAGUUCUCAGCAGUUGAAAUCUAACUAUUUUCUGGUUUGCAUGCCACAGUGUUGACAUAAGUUCAUCAAAAUCCUUUCUUAGAGGAAGGAACAAACCCAGCAUUAUUGUGCAUUCUGCAGGCCAUGUUGUCCAUGUGUUUGUUAAUGGUCAAUUUUUAGGCUCUGUUUUUGGGACAAGUGAAGAUAGAAGUUGCACAUUUAAUGUCUUUAUCAACCUACAUGCAAGAACUAAUAAAAUAGCACUUCUUAGUGUUGCUGUUGGAUUAUCGCUUGAAGCAAUAAAUUCAAGAAUGGAGUCCAGAAUUGAAGUGUUUCCUCCUAAAGAUGUAAGUAUUAAGCAACAUCUUUGUAUUGAACUGUAGUUAAUCUAAAUAACUAGAAAUCUAGUUUAAUCCCACUUAAAUUAAACUGUCUUUUGGUGGGUUAUUAGUUUAAACUACUCCUGUUAUAUUGUGACGAUGUCUAUUUGGGUAGAAAUUUAUUUUUUUGUUUGAGCAUAAGCUUUUUAUACACAUUCUAUUUGUGUCAAGCUUGACCUUUUCAAGUGUA